rnacentral:rRNA from 1 species
GAUGAACGCUAGCGGCAGGCUUAAUACAUGCAAGUCGAGGGACAGCACAGGUAGCAAUACUGGGUGGUAACCGGCAAACGGGUGCGGAACACGUACACAACCUUCCUUUAAGUGGGGGAUAGCCCAGAGAAAUUUGGAUUAAUACCCCGUAAUAUAGUUGAAUGGCAUCAUUUGAUUAUUAUAGCUACGGCGCUUAAUGAUGGGUGUGCGGCUGAUUAGAUAGUUGGCGGGGUAACGGCCCACCAAGUCUACGAUCAGUAGCUGAUGUGAGAGCAUGAUCAGCCACACGGGCACUGAGACACGGGCCCGACUCCUACGGGAGGCAGCAGUAAGGAAUAUUGGUCAAUGGACGCAAGUCUGAACCAGCCAUGCCGCGUGGAGGAUGAAGGUCCUCUGGAUUGUAAACUUCUUUUAUAUGGGGCGAAAAAAGGCCUUUCUAGGUCGUCUGACGGUACCAUAUGAAUAAGCACCGGCUAACUCCGUGCCAGCAGCCGCAGUAAAAC